GACGAACGCUGGCGGCGUGCUUAACACAUGCAAGUCGAACGAAGAGAGAUGGAAGCUUGCUUCUAUGGAUCUUAGUGGCGAACGGGUGAGUAACGCGUAAUCAACCUGCCCUUCAGAGGGGGACAACAGUUGGAAACGACUGCUAAUACCGCAUACGAUCCAAUCUCGGCAUCGAGAGUGGAUGAAAGGUGGCCUCUAUUAAUAAGCUAUCACUGAAGGAGGGGAUUGCGUCUGAUUAGCUAGUUGGAGGGGUAACGGCCCACCAAGGCGAUGAUCAGUAGCCGGUCUGAGAGGAUGAACGGCCACAUUGGGACUGAGACACGGCCCAGACUCCUACGGGAGGCAGCAGUGGGGAAUCUUCCGCAAUGGACGAAAGUCUGACGGAGCAACGCCGCGUGAGUGAUGACGGCCUUCGGGUUGUAAAGCUCUGUUAAUCGGGACGAAUGGUUCUUGUGCGAAUAGUGCGAGGA
rnacentral:rRNA from 1 species